AACGCGAAGAACCUUACCCAGGCUCGAAAUGUAAUGGACGAUAUCAGAGAUGAUAUUUUCCGCAAGGACUAUUAUAUAGGUGCUGCAUGGCUGUCGUCAGCUCGUGCCGUGAGGUGUUGGGUUAAGUCCCGCAACGAGCGCAACCCUUAUCAUUAGUUGCCAACACGCGAGGUGGGGACUCUAAUGAGACUGCCUGGGUUAACCAGGAGGAAGGUGAGGAUGACGUCAAGUCCGCAUGGCCUUUAUGUCUGGGGCUACACACGUGCUACAAUGGUCGGUACAGAAGGCAGCAAGACCGUAAGGUGGAGCAAAUCCGAAAAGCCGAUCACAGUUCAGAUUGUAGUCUGCAACUCGACUACAUGAAGUUGGAAUUGCUAGUAAUGACGUGUCAGCAACAACGUCGUGAAUACGUUCCCGGGCCUUGUA
rnacentral:rRNA from 1 species